UGUCCAAUUCAUUUGAAUAUUUCAGGGCAGAUAUAUAUUGACUUGAUUAACAAUUUAACUCCUUGUCAGAUUUCCUCUAAAUGAUUUGGUUUCAGAGUUAUAAGCAAAAAACUACAUUAUACCCCUGUUCUAUUUUUAGCCGUGGUGGCCAUCUUGGUUGGAUGGCCAGGUCAUCGGACACAUUUUUCAAACAAGGUACCUCAAAGAUGAUUGUGGCUAAGUUUGGAUUAAUUUGGCCCAGUAGUUUCAGGGGAGAAGAUUUUUGUAAAAGAUAACUAAGAUUUACGAAAAAUGGUUAAAAAUUGACUAUAAAAGGCAAUAACUCCUAAAAGGGUCAACUGACCAUUUCGGUCAUGUUGACUUAUUUGUAAAUCUUACUUUGAUGAAUAUUAUUGCUGUUUACAGUUUAUCUCUAUCUUUAA
rnacentral:lncRNA from 1 species